AUGCAGGCAACGGUCACCGGCACCGGGACCAGAUGAUCCAAUGCCUACUAGCAGGCAUGAGGGCAACCUCAAACAAAUCAGUAAAUUUUAACAAACUUCAAGAAAUAAUACAAGACCCCCAUGAAAACCCCGCAGCCUUCCUUAGCCGGCUCACAGAGGCACUUACCCAAUAUACCAGACUAGACCCUACCACCCCCGCCGGGGCCACGGUAUCGGCCACCUAUUUUAUUUCCCAAUCAGCCCCCGAUAUUCGAAAAAAACUAAAAAGGGCCGAAGACGGCCCUCAAACCCCUCUGGCCGACCUGGUAAAGAUGGCUUUUAAAGUUUUUAAUGGCCGAGAGGAAGCUCAAGAACAACAGUGACAGGCCCGUCUCCAACAAAAGGUACAAUUACAACCCCAAGCCUUGGUAGCUGCCCUGAGGCCAGCCGCAGUAAAGCCCUCUGGACCACGGCCCCCUCCAGGGCCUUGUUUUAAAUGUGGCCAAGAAGGCCAUUGGUCUCGUCAGUGUCCCCAUCCCAAAAAGCCUACCAGUCCAUGCCCAUUGUGCCAGCAAAUGGGCCACUGGAAAUCCGAUUGUCCUAACCCAGGGGACGACAGACUCGCAACGCCUCCACGUGGCGAGGCUUCACCCGGAUUGGACUCUGCCUUCCAACUGCUGGAGAUGGAGGAUGACGACUGACGAGGCCCAGACUCAGUAACUCCGGUGACCCACGCUGAGCCCAGGGUAAAACUCCAGGAAGCAGCCAGAUCAGAUCCGUCGCCCAUUAUCACCAAUAAGAGGUUGGAAUGUGAGGAUGUCCCUGGAAGGGGACGGCCAUCUCGCCAGCGCGCCGGAACAAACUGAAGGUCAACCAAUCACUGAGCAACAGCACAACCUGGCACGAAAGAAAGACCCACCCGAACCUAAACCCAGAACUGCUGCAGCUUAAAAACCCUACCCCACCAUACCCGGGCGCGACUUCCCUGACUCCUCUCACUCCCUGAGUCACGGAACCUCACCCAGAACCUUAGCUCCCAAUAAAGCCUUAAACUGCAAA